CUGGCUCAGGAUGAACGCGGGCGGCGUGCCUAAUACAUGCAAGUCGAACGAGGUGCUUUGUAGCAAUACGAAGUAUCCUAGUGGCGAACGGGUGAGUAACGCGUUGGUGACCUACCCCAAAGUGUGGGAUAACAGUCCGAAAGGAUUGCUAAUACCGCAUGUGGUCUCUGGAUUUAGAAACCGGUGACUAAAGGAGCAAUUCGCUUUGGGAGGGACCUGCGUCCCAUCAGCUAGUUGGUGAGGUAACGGCUCACCAAGGCGACGACGGGUAGGGGACCUGAGAGGGUGACCCCCCACAAUGGAACUGAAACACGGUCCAUACACCUACGGGUGGCAGCAGUAGGGAAUAUUGGUCAAUGGGCGAAAGCCUGAACCAGCAACGCCGCGUGUGCGAUGAAGGCCUUCGGGUCGUAAAGCACUUUUCUGGGAGAUGAGAAAGGACAGUAUCCCAGGAAUAAGUCUCGGCUAACUACGUGCCAGCAGCCGCGGUAAAACGUAGGAGGCGAGCGUUAUCCGGAUUCACUGGGCGUAAAGCGCGUGCAGGUGGCUUGGUAAGUUAGGCGUGAAAUCUCCCGGCUCAACUGGGAGAGGUCGUCUAAUACUACCGGGCUUGAGAGCAGAAGAGGAAGAUGGAAUUCCCGGUGUAGUGGUGAAAUGCGUAGAUAUCGGGAGGAACACCAGUGGCGAAGGCGAUCUUCUGGUCUGUUUCUGACACUCAGACGCGACAGCUAGGGUAGUAAACGGGAUUAGAGACCCCGGUAAUCCUAGCCGUAAACGAUGUAAACUUGGCGUUGGUGGGUUAAACUCCAUCAGUGCCGCAGCAAACGCGAUAAGUUUACCGCCUGGGGACUACGGC
rnacentral:rRNA from 1 species